rnacentral:rRNA from 1 species
GACGAACGCUGGCGGCGUGCUUAACACAUGCAAGUCGAGCGGAAAGGCCACUUCGGUGGUACUCGAGCGGCGAACGGGUGAGUAACACGUGAGUAAUCUGCCCCUGGCUUUGGGAUAGCCACCGGAAACGGUGAUUAAUACCGGAUACGACCACUUCUCGCAUGGGAUGGUGGUGGCAAGUUUCUUCGGCCAGGGAUGUGCUCGCGGCGUAUCAGCUUGAUGGUGAGGUAAUGGCUCACCAUGGCUUCGACGGGUAACCGGCCUGAGAGGGUGACCGGUCACACUGGGACUGAGACACGGCCCGGACUCCUACGGGAGGCAGCAGUGGGGAAUAUUGGACAAUGGGCGGAAGCCUGAUCCAGCAACGCCGCGUGAGGGAUGACGGCCUUCGGGUUGUAAACCUAUUUCAGCAGGGACGAAGCGCAAGUGACGGUACCUGCAGAAGAAGCACCGGCCAACUACGUGCCAGCCGCCGCCGUAA